rnacentral:rRNA from 1 species
CAGUCGAACGGGGGCCAGCGGCGGAAGGGGAUGGUUUACCAGACCCCGAAGGUGCGGGCCUUAGUGGCGGACGGGUGAGUAACGCGUGGGGAACCUGCCCCGUACCGGGGGAUAACACCUGGAAACAGGUGCUAAUACCGCAUAACAGAAGGGGACGCAUGUUCCUUUCUUGAAAACUCCGGUGGUACGGGAUGGACCCGCGUCUGAUUAGCUGGUUGGCGGGGUAACGGCCCACCAAGGCGACGAUCAGUAGCCGGCCUGAGAGGGCGGACGGCCACAUUGGGACUGAGAUACGGCCCAGACUCCUACGGGAGGCAGCAGUGGGGAAUAUUGGGCAAUGGACGCAAGUCUGACCCAGCAACGCCGCGUGAAGGAAGAAGGCUUUCGGGUUGUAAACUUCUUUUAAGGGGGAAGAGUAGAAGACGGUACCCCUUGAAUAAGCCACGGCUAACUACGUGCCAGCAGCCGCGGUAAUACGUAGGUGGCAAGCGUUGUCCGGAUUUACUGGGUGUAAAGGGCGUGCAGCCGGAGAGACAAGUCAGAUGUGAAAUCCACGGGCUCAACCCGUGAACUGCAUUUGAAACUGUUUCCCUUGAGUGUCGGAGAGGUAAUCGGAAUUCCUUGUGUAGCGGUGAAAUGCGUAGAUAUAAGGAAGAACACCAGUGGCGAAGGCGGAUUACUGGACGAUAACUGACGGUGAGGCGCGAAAGCGUGGGGAGCAAACAGGAUUAGAUACCCUGGUAGUCCACGCUGUAAACGAUCGAUACUAGGUGUGCGGGGACUGACCCCCUGCGUGCCGGAGUUAACACAAUAAGUAUCG